rnacentral:rRNA from 1 species
CCAAUAGCGUAUAUUAAAGUUGUUGCAGUUAAAAAGCUCGUAGUUGAAUUUCGGGAUCAGCAGGUUGGUCUUGCCACUGGUAUAUACUAGCUUGCUGAUUCCUCCUUCUUGUAGAACCAUAAUGCCAUUAAUUUGGUGUUGCGGGGAAACAGGACUGUUACUUUGAAAAAAUUAGAGUGUUUAAAGCAGGCCAACGCCUGAAUACAUUAGCAUGGAAUAAUGAAAUAGGACGUUCGAACCUAUUUUGUUGGUUUCUAGGAUUGACGUAAUGAUUAAUAGGGAUAGUUGGGGGCAUUAGUAUUCAAUUGUCAGAGGUGAAAUUCUUGGAUUUAUUGAAGACUGACUACUGCGAAAGCAUUUGCCAAGGAUGUUUUCAUUAAUCAAGAACGAAAGUUAGGGGAUCGAAGACGAUCAGAUACCGUCGUAGUCUUAACCAUAAACUAUGCCGACUAGGGAUCGGAUGAUGUUAAUUUUUUAAUGACUCAUUCGGCGCCUUACG